CCUCCAUUCCCAGUGACUGUUAUUGGAGAAGAGCUAACGGCUAGCUGCUGAACGACUUCGCUAACCUCACUCAGAUAAAGUGUCUAAGCUCAGAUACAGAAAAACUUCAAAAGACAUAAAAAUCCAGCACCAGCUGAGUUUUGGUGAUUUCAGCUCCCAGGAAAGAGUCCUGACUGCACAGCUGCAUGACGGCAGUGCCCCUGUGCACAAAGCGCGCUCCAUGAAGACAUGGUUUACGAAAAUUGGACUGGGAGACCUUGAGUGUCGUGCACAGAGCCCUGACCUCAACCCCACUGAACACCUUUGAGAUGAACUGGAACUGGAACCUCCUCACCCAACAUCAGCUCCUGAUCUCAUCCUCACUAACGCUCUUGUAGCUGAAUGAACACAAAGCCACACAACCACAAAAUCUACUGGAAAGCCUUCCCAGAAGAGUGGAGUGCAUUAUUACAGUAAAUGGAUAAUAAAUCUGGAAUGAGAUGUUCAACAAGCACGUGUUGGUGUUGAUGAUCAGGGGUACAUACUUUUCGCCAUAUAGUGUAACUUCUUUUUCCCAUUUGAAAUUUAACUUCUGCGUUAUCUAUAAACAUUCCUGAUGUAUAUGGCAGAAAUUACAAUCAAAUAUGUGAGUGUUGGAGUUUAUAGUGCUGUGGUUCUCCUGGACUAAUUGGAUAUGGAUUAGAUACUUUUUUCCACCAUAGCUCUCUAUUUUCAUUUUACACAUGGAGUGUAAAAUGGAAAAAUGUGGAGUGUAGGAGCCGCACAGUGAGCAUUUUCCCCAUGUGUUUUUGGUAGAAGACAUUUAAUUGGCCAGUAGUGUAUUUUUUUUCCCUUCUUCCUAAACUGGUGCUCCCAUCUCAUUACUGUAAACAAAACUACACCUCAGCUUUCUGGUCAUACGAGUUUCGG
ensembl:lncRNA